rnacentral:rRNA from 1 species
GUGCAAAGGUAGCAUAAUCAUUUGGUUUUUAAAUGGAAACUUGAAUGAAAGGGUUAACGAGAAAUAACUGUCUUUUAAGAAAAUUUUGAAAUUAAACUUUUUGUAAAAAUGCAAGAAUUAUAUUAGGGGACGAUAAGACCCUAUUAAGCUUUAUAUUAAAUUAUAAAUUGGUCAUAACAUAUUUAAUUUUUAAAAUUUUACUGGGGCGGUAGCUUAAUAAACAAAGUAAAAAAAUAUUGAUCCAUUAUGAGUGAUAAUUUGAUUAAGUUACUUUAGGGAUAACAGCAUAAUUCAUUUUGGGAGUUCAAAU